UACGUAGGGUGCAAGCGUUAAUCGGAAUUACUGGGCGUAAAGCGUGCGCAGGCGGUUGUGCAAGACCGAUGUGAAAUCCCCGGGCUUAACCUGGGAACUGCAUUGGUGACUGCACGGCUAGAGUGUGUCAGAGGGGGGUAGAAUUCCACGUGUAGCAGUGAAAUGCGUAGAGAUGUGGAGGAAUACCGAUGGCGAAGGCAGCCCCCUGGGAUAACACUGACGCUCAU
rnacentral:rRNA from 1 species